rnacentral:rRNA from 1 species
GAUCAUGGCUCAGGACGAAUGCUGGCGGCGUGCUUAACACAUGCAAGUCGAACGAUGAUGCGGUGCUUGCACCGUUGAUUAGUGGCGAACGGGUGAGUAACACGUGAGUAACCUGCCCUCUUCUUUGGGAUAACGGUCUGAAAGGGCUGCUAAUACUGAAUAUUCACAUGUCUUCGCAUGGGGGUGUGUGGAAAGAGAUGCUUUUGGGUGUUUUUGGUGGGGGAUGGGCUCGCGG